AGCUUUCUGAAUCCGUGCAGUUCUCGUCAGAUACCAACCCAUUAGUAUUGAUCAGACUUCCAGGAUAAGUGAAGUU
rfam:Schistosoma mattheei strain Denwood, Zambia genome assembly, scaffold: SMTD_contig0004993